rnacentral:rRNA from 1 species
UACGAAGGGGGCAAGCGUUGUUCGGAAUUACUGGGCGUAAAGGGCGCGUAGGCGGCUUACCAAGUCAGGCGUGAAAUUCCCGGGCUCAACCUGGGGGCUGCGCUUGAUACUGGUGAGCUUGAAUGCGGGAGAGGAUAGUGGAAUUCCCAGUGUAGAGGUGAAAUUCGUAGAUAUUGGGAGGAACACCAGUGGCGAAGGCGGCUCGCUGGACCGGUUCUGACGCUGAGGCGCGAAAGCGUGGGGAGCAAACGGG